rnacentral:rRNA from 1 species
AGGACGAACGCUGGCGGCGUGCUUAACACAUGCAAGUCGAGCGACGCUCCUCCUUCGGGAGGAUGACGGAGCGGCGAACGGGUGAGUAACACGUGGGCAACCUGCCCCUAGCUCUGGGAUAAGCCCGGGAAACCGGGUCUAAUACCGGAUACGAGACUAAGAGGCAUCUCUUGGUCUGGAAAGUUUUUCGGCUAGGGAUGGGCCCGCGGCCUAUCAGCUUGUUGGUGGGGUAAUGGCCUACCAAGGCGACGACGGGUA